rnacentral:rRNA from 1 species
CUAAGUUUGAUGGCGACCGGCGCACGGGUGAGUAACACGUAUCCAACCUGCCGAUGACUCGGGGAUAGCCUUUCGAAAGAAAGAUUAAUACCCGAUGGCAUAGUUCUUCCGCAUGGUAGAACUAUUAAAGAAUUUCGGUCAUCGAUGGGGACGCGUUCCAUUAGGUUGUUGGCGGGGUAACGGCCCACCAAGCCUUCGAUGGAUAGGGGUUCUGAGAGGAAGGUCCCCCACAUUGGAACUGAGACACGGUCCAA